rnacentral:rRNA from 1 species
AUGGCAUCUAUUCCCAAGCUUGUGAUUCUCCUGCUGUGCACCUGUCUUCACACUCUCCUUGCUCACGGAGGGGACGAUCUUCGCACCUACAAGGUUCUGCACGCUGGCGCUCUCAAAUCUGCCACCGUCAACUGCUCCCAGCCCCAAGUGACUCCAUCAUACGGCGGGGUCACGGUGCCGUUGCACCACCGGCACGGCCCGUGCUCGCCCUCGCCUGUACCCUCCACCAAGGCGCCGACCUUGCAGGAGAUGCUCCGGCGUGACCAGCUCCGGGCCGCUUACAUCACACGGAAGUACUCCGGCGUCAAGGGUGGCGCAGGUGACGUGGAGCAAUCGGACAUUACCGUGCUCACCACGCUGGGCACCUCCCUGGGCACGCUGGAGUACCUGAUCACCGUCGGCAUCGGCUCGCCACCCAGACAGCACCGACACGCUCGCGCUGGGCUCCAGCACCGUCAAGAACUUCCAGUUCGGGUGCAGCCAGUCUGA